rnacentral:lncRNA from 1 species
UUCUGAUAUGUAUAUUGUAUUCACCCUCUGUACUAUGUACAGGUAUACAGGGGUUGCGUAUCCAUUUAUCUGGAUUAUUGUAAAUAUACAUCCUCUUGUAUAUUCUGAAUUCUAUUCUAUUUUAUUUUUAUCUUAAUUGUCUCUGCGUGCUCUUGCUAUUGUUGCGCUGUAAAUUUUCCCAUGUGGGACAAUAAAGGACCUGAAUCUGAUCUGAAUUUGAAGUGUUGCCUAAGGAAGUGAAGAGUCCGUGAGAGUCCAGGGUGGCAGGUAAGUCUGGAAGGAUGACCACAGAGCAGGACGUCCGAAUGGGCAGAACUUGGAACAAAGUGUUGGUUACCCCCAGGGUCCGGAAUUGAGUGCUGCUCCUCUAGGACCCUCUCUUCCACCUGCCAGUAAGCAGCUCCGGCUCUGAACUGGAGGGAUCUAGGGAAAACUGGCGAGACAAGGCAUCUGGCUUGACAAUACGAGAACCUGGGUGAUAAGUGAGGGAGAAAUUAAAAUGACCAAGGAAAAGUAGCCACUGUGCUUGUCGGGAGUUCAGUCUCUUGGCAUUUGUAAGGUAGGACAGGUUUUCAUGAUCCGUCCAGAUCAGGAAUGAUUGAGCCAAACCCUCCAGCCAGUGUCUCCAUUCCUGUAACGUCAGAACAACUGCAAGCAACCCCUAUGUCAUAGUCCACCUCCGCUGUGUUGGGGUCCAGGGGUCGCUUGUUGCCUGUUUCUUCCUUCAGGGGGCGUGGGGGAGCCGAUGAUUAUCCACAGCUGGUGUUUCAGGCGGACGCACCUGCUGGCAAUUUCCAUCAGCCUUCCAUUUAAGGAAGGAGCGCCUGUCUGCCAGUGUUGGAGAGUUUACAUACGGUCUCCACAUCAACCUGCAGACGUAAACUGCUUGCUGGACCUGUCUCCUGCAUUGACUCCGUGCUGGAGCUCCCGGUGGACCCCGGAGGACUGGACGAGAGAUUCCCCUGUGGUCCAGGAGGACUUUUUGACUACUUAAAUAAAAACACUUAUUUGGACUCUAUUCCCCACUGCGUGUUGCCUGCUUUCAGGUCCUGGAAAAAACACUCUAUAACAGA